AAAGCCUUUUUGUCUAGUUGGUACAUUAGAGAUGCCAUCUUUAGAUUCUGAGCAAAACACAAAAUGUAUUGGUUUUACAAUGGUGUUUUUUUUUCUUGUGAACAAUUUUUCUACUAAUUUUUUGCAUGGAUCUUCAUAUGUAAUACAUUUUCUUAAAACAAAUUUGGCUGAAGUGAUAUGUCAGAGCAGUCAUUUUUUGAUUUUCCCAGGGGUUUUCAUAAUAAAUGGAAAAAAUCAUGAAACAACAUAGAAAAAACAGAAAUAUUUACGAAAUGUUUUAUUA